UUGCCCCAAGAGACAUCGAGACUGGAAACAGAUGCUUCUGAGUCCAUUUGCCUGUUGGACCUUGAAGUUUUUUUACUCGGGAUGGUGUUCACUAGCAACUUAGAACUGCAAGAGAAGUUUAAUACUCAGCGUGGCACACAUCAACCUCUGUUCUUACCGUUGCUGCUGUGCAAACAGUUCUGUACUGAGAAGCAAAGAUCCUGGUGGGAUGCUGUUUGUGCUCUUAUGCAG